CCAAGAAUCUUGGGCAAUGGGCGAAAGCCUGACCCAGCAACGCCGCGUGGAGGAUGAAGGCCUUCGGGUUGUAAACUCCUGUCAGAAGGGAAGAAGGUGAGCAGGUUAAUAUCCUGUUCAGUUGACGGUACCUUCAAAGGAAGCCCCGGCUAAUUACGUGCCAGCAGCCGCGGUAAGACGUAUGGGGCAAGCGUUGCUCGGAUUUACUGGGCGUAAAGGGCGUGUAGGCGGUAUUGCAAGUCAAAUGUGAAAUACCACGGCUUAACUGUGGACCCGCAUUUGAAACUGCAGUACUUGAGUUCAGAUGAGGAGAAUAGAAUUCCAGGUGUAGGGGUGAAAUCUGUAGAUAUCUGGAAGAAUACCAAUGGCGAAGGCAAUUCUCUAAUCUGAUACUGACGCUAAGGCGCGAAAGCGUGGGGAGCGAACA
rnacentral:rRNA from 1 species